GGCUGAGGUGGGAUCCUGAGGCCUCUCCAGUCACUGAGGGUGCACCAUCAGCCUGUCUCGCCCGCCGCGCUAGG
rnacentral:miRNA from 1 species